GGGUUGUGAGGUUAAGCGACUAAGCGUACACGGUGGAUGCCCUGGCAGUCAGAGGCGAUGAAGGGCGUGCUAAUCUGCGAUAAGCGCCGGUAAGGUGAUAUGAACCGUUAUAACCGGCGAUACCCGAAUGGGGAAACCCAGUGUGACUCGUCACACUAUCAUUAACUGAAUCCAUAGGUUAAUGAGGCGAACCGGGGGAACUGAAACAUCUAAGUACCCCGAGGAAAAGAAAUCAACCGAGAUUCCCCCAGUAGCGGCGAGCGAACGGGGAGGAGCCCAGAGCCUGAAUCAGCAUGUGUGUUAGUGGAAGCGUCUGGAAAGGCGCGCGAUACAGGGUGACAGCCCCGUACACAAAAGCGCAUGUGCUGUGAGCUCGAUGAGUAGGGCGGGACACGUGGUAUCCUGUCUGAAU
rnacentral:rRNA from 2 species